GAACGCUGCCGAAGACAGUAGGUGCCGUAAGGCAUAAGGAUGUAAACGCCUACCGAGGACUAAGUAUUCUUUAUGUUUAUGGAAGAUUACGCAAGCCUUACUGUCAUGCAGUAAGGCUUUUUCUUUA
rnacentral:sRNA from 1 species